rnacentral:rRNA from 1 species
GGGCUUGCUCUGUCUGAUCAGUGGCGAACGGGUGAGUAACACGUGAGUAACCUGCCCCCGACUCUGGAAUAACCGUGGGAAACGACGGCUAAUACCGGAUAUGAGACGCACGGGCAUCUGUGUGUCUGGAAAGAUUUAUCGGUCAGGGAUGGACUCGCGGCCUAUCAGCUUGUUGGUGGGGUAAUGGCCUACCAAGGCGACGACGGGUAGCCGGCCUGAGAGGGCGACCGGCCACACUGGGACUGAGAUACGGCCCAGACUCCUACGGGAGGCAGCAGUGGGGAAUAUUGCACAAUGGGCGCAAGCCUGAUGCAGCGACGCCGCGUGAGGGAUGAAGGCCUUCGGGUUGUAAACCUCUUUCAGCAGGGAAGAAGCGAAAGUGACGGUACCUGCAGAAGAAGCGCCGGCUAACUACGUGCCAGCAGCCGCGGUAAUACGUAGGGCGCAAGCGUUGUCCGGAAUUAUUGGGCGUAAAGAGCUCGUAGGCGGUUUGUCGCGUCUGCUGUGAAAACCUGAGGCUCAACCUCGGGCUUGCAGUGGGUACGGGCAGACUAGAGUGCGGUAGGGGUGACUGGAAUUCCUGGUGUAGCGGUGGAAUGCGCAGAUAUCAGGAGGAACACCGAUGGCGAAGGCAGGUCACUGGGCCGCAACUGACGCUGAGGAGCGAAAGCAUGGGGAGCGAACAGGAUUAGAUACCCUGGUAGUCCAUGCCGUAAACGUUGGGCACUAGGUGUGGGGCUCAUUCCACGAGUUCCGUGCCGCAGCAAACGCAUUAAGUGCCCCGCCUGGGGAGUACGGCCGCAAGGCUAAAACUCAAAGAAAUUGACGGGGGCCCGCACAAGCGGCGGAGCAUGCGGAUUAAUUCGAUGCAACGCGAAGAACCUUACCAAGGCUUGACAUACACCCGGAAAAGUGCAGAGAUGUGCUCC